rnacentral:rRNA from 1 species
CGUAGGGUGCAAGCGUUAAUCGGAAUUACUGGGCGUAAAGCGUGCGCAGGCGGUGAUGUAAGACAGUUGUGAAAUCCCCGGGCUCAACCUGGGAACUGCAUCUGUGACUGCAUCGCUGGAGUACGGUAGAGGGGGAUGGAAUUCCGCGUGUAGCAGUGAAAUGCGUAGAUAUGCGGAGGAACACCGAUGGCGAAGGCAAUCCCCUGGACCUGUACUGACGCUCAUGCACGAAAGCGUGGGGAGCAAACAGGAUUAGAUACCCUGGUAGUCCACGCCCUAAACGAUGUCAACUGGUUGUUGGGUCUUCACUGACUCAGUAACGAAGCUAACGCGUGAAGUUGACCGCCUGGGGAGUACGGCCGCAAGGUUG